UACGUAGGGGGCAAGCGUUGUCCGGAUUUAUUGGGCGUAAAGAGCGUGUAGGCGGCUUUGCAAGUCCGUUGUGAAAACUCGAGGCUCAACCUCGAGACGCCGGUGGAAACUGCAAAGCUAGAGUCCGGAAGAGGAGAGUGGAAUUCCUGGUGUAGCGGUGAAAUGCGCAGAUAUCAGGAAGAACACCCGUGGCGAAGGCGGCUCUCUGGGACGUGACUGACGCUGAGACGCGAAAGCGUGGGGAGCAAACAGG
rnacentral:rRNA from 1 species